AUCGUCCUCACCAUUGAGCUCUACAGUUGCUAUGACGAUGUGUAAUGACGUCAUUCGUAAAUCAAAAUGGCAGAUUGAUGGAGAAAAGUUUGUUUUUUACACGUUUAGUGUGAUUAACUGACUAUGGAAGAGAAAAUAAGCAAAAAAAAAGUCAGUGAAAAUGACCUUAGACAAGUAGGAAAGGACUAUAUUGACCAUAUCCAAGCAUCUUUGCUACAAUCUUCGGAAAAUCUCAAAAGUUGCGCCAACGCCACUGUUAUUGAAGAUCCUUACAUAAAGGCUUACAGAUAUCUACAAAAUAAUCAGAUUUUAUCAUUGCUUGAGUAGGACUUGAUCACAUAUACUGCGUUUGAACGACCUAGUGAUCCAUUUUCAUUCAUGGCUAAACUAGUUGAAGACUUCUAUGAGGAUCAAAGAAAAACUUGAAAAUGACUAUAGAUAAAUCGCCCGAUCAUUGUAAAGAUAAUUAAGAGUUUAUUAUUCAUAGGGUAUAAUUCAAAUCAAAACUUCAUUUUUGUUCAAUAUAUUUACUUCUUCUCA